rnacentral:rRNA from 1 species
GAGGGGGAUAACAUUCGGAAACGGAUGCUAAUACCGCAUAGGUGAUGUGAGCGCAUGCUCGGAUCAUUAAAGAUGGCUUCGGCUAUCGCUUAUGGAUGGCCCCGCGGCGUAUUAGCUAGUUGGUGAGGUAAUGGCUCACCAAGGCUGUGAUACGUAGCCGACCUGAGAGGGUGAUCGGCCACACUGGAACUGAGACACGGUCCAGACUCCUACGGGAGGCAGCAGUAGGGAAUCUUCCACAAUGGGCGAAAGCCUGAUGGAGCAAUACCGCGUGAGUGAAGAAGGUCUUCGGAUCGUAAAGCUCUGUUGUUAGAGAAGAAUAAGAGGUGUAGUAACUGGCACCUCCUUGACGGUAUCUAACCAGAAAGUCACGGCUAACUACGUGCCAGCAGCCGCGGUAAUACGUAGGUGACAAGCGUUGUCCGGAUUUAUUGGGCGUAAAGCGAGCGCAGGCGGUCUUUUAAGUCUGAUGUGAAAGCCCACGGCUCAACCGUGGAUGGUCAUUGGAAACUGGAAGACUUGAAUGCAGAAGAGGAAAGUGGAAUUCCAUGUGUAGCGGUGAAAUGCGUAGAUAUAUGGAGGAACACCAGUGGCGAAGGCGACUUUCUGGUCUGUAAUUGACGCUGAGGCUCGAAAGCGUGGGGAGCAAACAGGAUUAGAUACCCUGGUAGUCCACGCCGUAAACGAUGAGUGCUAAGUGUUGGAGGGUUUCCGCCCUUCAGUGCUGGAGCUAACGCAUUAAGCACUCCGCCUGGGGAGUACGGCCGCAAGGCG